CUUCCCGUAAGGGGAACCUGCGGAAGGAUCAUUAGUGAAUAUAGGACGUCCAACUUAACUUGGAGUCCGAACUCUCACUUUCUAACCCUGUGCACUUGUUUGGGAUAGUAACUCUCGCAAGAGAGCGAACUCCUAUUCACUUAUAAACACAAAGUCUAUGAAUGUAUUAAAUUUUAUAACAAAAUAAAACUUUCAACAACGGAUCUCUUGGCUCUCGCAUCGAUGAAGAACGCAGCGAAAUGCGAUAAGUAAUGUGAAUUGCAGAAUUCAGUGAAUCAUCGAAUCUUUGAACGCACCUUGCGCUCCAUGGUAUUCCGUGGAGCAUGCCUGUUUGAGUGUCAUGAAUACUUCAACCCUCCUCUUUCUUAAUGAUUGAAGAGGUGUUUGGUUUCUGAGCGCUGCUGGCCUUUACGGUCUAGCUCGUUCGUAAUGCAUUAGCAUCCGCAAUCGAACUUCGGAUUGACUUGGCGUAAUAGACUAUUCGCUGAGGAAUUCUAGUCUUCGGACUAGAGCCGGGUUGGGUUAAAGGAAGCUUCUAAUCAGAAUGUCUACAUUUUAAGAUUAGAUCUCAAAUCAGGUAGGACUACCCGCUGAACUUAAGCAUAUCAAUAAGCCGGAGGAAA
rnacentral:rRNA from 1 species